AUGGCCAUGCAGAGAGAACGGAAACCUGCCUCAGUCCCACAGCCCUGGUUCCCUGUGCAGGCAGCACUGACUCAGUCAGACUCGCUGUCAGUGAACCCAGGAGAAACCGUCACGAUCACCUGCUCUGGGAGUAGUAGCAGCUAUGGCUGGUACCAGCAGAAGUCACCUGGCAGUGCCCCUGUCACUGUGAUCUAUUGGAAUGAUGAAAGACCCUCAGACAUCCCUUCACGAUUCUCCGGUUCCACAUCCGGCUCCACAAGCACAUUAACCAUCACUGGGGUCCAAGCCGAAGACGAGGCUGUCUAUUACUGUGGGAGCUACGACAGCAGUGCUGGUUAUGUUGGUUGCAGCACUGCAGGGUGGAACUGGAGAAUUGUGAUGGGAUGUUUGAGGGUCUGUUGGUGUCGCUAUGGAUCACAGUCUCAGCACCAUUACCAGGUUUCUCCUGGAACCAGCCAUAUUCAUGGCUACUACCAGAGUGACCAACCCCAAGCCACAGGGGCCCGGGCAAUGCCUGCAGGAGCAGAAUGCAAUGAAGCCCUGGGACCUGAUGUACAGAUCGAAGGAGAGCAGGAGGAAGGGGGGAAGGCCCUAGAGCCAGGCUGAGAGGAAGCAGCAGAGAAAAAGAGAACCUUUUGAACAUGCACGGUCUCAUUGUCUUAGGGAUCAGUGCCAUCUUCUGGCGCUGGGUGUUGUGUGUCAGGCACUUGCUAAGC